rnacentral:rRNA from 1 species
CGAACGGAAAGGCCCUUCGGGGUACUCGAGUGGCGAACGGGUGAGUAACACGUGGGUGAUCUGCCCUGCACUUUGGGAUAAGCCUGGGAAACUGGGUCUAAUACCGAAUAGGACCGCAUGUUUCAUGGUGUGUGGUGGAAAGCUUUUGCGGUGUGGGAUGGGCCCGCGGCCUAUCAGCUUGUUGGUGAGGUAAUGGCUUACCAAGGCGACGACGGGUAGCCGGCCUGAGAGGGUGACCGGCCACACUGGGACUGAGAUACGGCCCAGACUCCUACGGGAGGCAGCAGUGGGGAAUAUUGCACAAUGGGCGCAAGCCUGAUGCAGCGACGCCGCGUGAGGGAUGACGGCCUUCGGGUUGUAAACCUCUUUCGCCAGGGACGAAGCGCAAGUGACGGUACCUGGAGAAGAAGGACCGGCCAACUACGUGCCAGCAGCCGCGGUAAUACGUAGGGUCCGAGCGUUGUCCGGAAUUACUGGGCGUAAAGAGCUCGUAGGUGGUUUGUCGCGUUGUUCGUGAAAACUCACAGCUUAACUGUGGGCGUGCGGGCGAUACGGGCAGACUUGAGUACUGCAGGGGAGACUGGAAUUCCUGGUGUAGCGGUGGAAUGCGCAGAUAUCAGGAGGAACACCGGUGGCGAAGGCGGGUCUCUGGGCAGUAACUGACGCUGAGGAGCGAAAGCGUGGGGAGCGAACAGGAUUAGAUACCCUGGUAGUCCACGCCGUAAACGGUGGGUACUAGGUGUGGGUUUCCUUCCUUGGGAUCCGUGCCGUAGCUAACGCAUUAAGUACCCCGCCUGGGGAGUACGGCCGCAAGGCUAAAACUCAAAGAAAUUGACGGGGGCCCGCACAAGCGGCGGAGCAUGUGGAUUAAUUCGAUGCAACGCGAAGAACCUUACCUGGGUUUGACAUGCACAGGACGCCGGCAGAGAUGUCGGUUCCCUUGUGGCCUGUGUGCAGGUGGUGCAUGGCUGUCGUCAGCUCGUGUCGUGAGAUGUUGGGUUAAGUCCCGCAACGAGCGCAACCCUUGUCUCAUGUUGCCAGCACGUUAUGGUGGGGACUCGUGAGAGACUGCCGGGGUCAACUCGGAGGAAGGUGGGGAUGACGUCAAGUCAUCAUGCCCCUUAUGUCCAGGGCUUCACACAUGCUACAAUGGCCGGUACAAAGGGCUGCGAUGCCGUGAGGUGGAGCGAAUCCUUUCAAAGCCGGUCUCAGUUCGGAUCGGGGUCUGCAACUCGACCCCGUGAAGUCGGAGUCGCUAGUAAUCGCAGAUCAGCAACGCUGCGGUGAAUACGUUCCCGGGCCUUGUACACACCGCCCGUCACGUCAUGAAAGUCGGUAACACCCGAAGCCGGUGGCCUAACCCUUGUGGAGGGAGCCGUUGAAGGUGGGAUCGGCG